rnacentral:rRNA from 1 species
UACAGAGGCCUCGAGCGUUAGGCGGAAUCACUGGGCUUAAAGCGUGUGUAGGCGGACUUCUAAGUACCUUGUGAAAUCCCACGGCUCACCCGUGGAACUGCUUGGUAUACUGGUUGUCUUGAGCCUUCUAGGGGCGAGUGGAACAAAUGGUGGAGCGGUGAAAUGCGCAGAUAUCAGGAGGAACACCGGUGGCGAAGGCGGGUCUCUGGGCAACUACUGACGCUGAGGAGCGAAAGCGUGGGGAGCGAACAGG